rnacentral:lncRNA from 1 species
GUCUCUUUCUUCUGUACCACACACGAUUGGGUUGAGUCUCCAAUUUAUCUUUUAGUCAGUUUUUUUGUUAUGAUACUCAACCAUCAAAUAGUUUUCAAAGGCUUAAGAUAUAUUUUUGUUGUUGUUGAAAGACCAUGGUGUCUCUUAUUUAAUAGCACUCCAUUUCUUAGGAAAGCUAAGAUGACUUCCCCUUCUUCCUUUGCCACCCAACUGUCUUAGUCAGGAUUUGUGUUCCUGCACAAAACAUCAUGGCCAAGAAGCAAGUUGGGGAGGAAAGGGUUUACACUUCCAUAUUGCUGUUCAUCACCAAAGGAAGUCAGAACUGGAACUCAAGCAGGUCAGGAAGCAGGAGCUGAUGCAGAGGCCAUAGAGGGAUGUUACUUACUGGCUUGCUUCCCCUGGCUUGCUCAGCUUGCUCUCUUGUAGAACCCAGGACUAUCAGCCCAGGGAUGGCGCCACCCACAAUGGGCUGGGCCCUUCCCCCUUGAUCACUAACUGAGAACAUGCCUUACAGCUGGGACUCAUCGAAGCAUUUCCUCAAGGGAGACUCCUUUCUCUGUGAUAACUCCAGUUUGUGUCAAGUUGACACACAAAACCAGCCAUUCACCCACCAAUAUCCUGAGCACCACGGAAUAAGUCAUUGGUCAGCCGUGUGAGCGGUGCUGAACAAAUGCCCUUGUUUAGUUGUCUGCCCCGGGGUACAAUCAUUCUCUACUCUCAAAAUGGAGCUGCUUAUGAAACCGUCUUCCAGGACAAUAUGUAGGAGUCCCCGCAGAUGUUUUGGCUGACAGGGGAAAGCUCCACGAACGGGUAAGUAUUGCACCUCUGUUUGGUUUGACUCAGACAGGCUGGCUCAAACAUCAGGAGUCUGAUGCCAGGUGCUUUACUGUCCGCGCGUCUAAACACAUUGCAAUUGGGAACAGGGUUUCUAGGCAACACUCAUUUCAAUUCCAGGACACGGUAAAGCUUAAAGUGGGACUGCAUAGAAGCUCCUUUGCAAACUACAGGUGACACGAAGACGGGUUCUGUAGCUUAAAGACUUAGAUCCAGUGUGGUCUCUGACAGAGGUGGCAUAGAGGUCAGUAGGGUAUGAAACACAUGUGACAUCUUCCCCCACCCCCCAAGGAUGGGUUCCAUUAAAUGGGCACUAAAGAUAAAGUUAUGGAGAGGAAGAGUCUGGAAUAAUCGUUCUGGGGGAUUUGGGUGAGGUCGCCCUGUUACUAACAGCAGCCACACUCAGCUUUCUGGAUGGAAUGCAGCUGUUUUAUUUUCCCCAGUGAGAAGAUACCUCUGCAUGUUGUUUAACAUCUCUGAUUUCCCCAGGGAUUAUCUGUGAAUUCAAGGAUCUUGUGCCCUCCACAGCAAGGCACAGGGUGGAAUAGCUGGU